AGGGCCUCUGGGUCACCUCCCCCCGUGUUUAUUUUACCUUGUUGCUUCGGCGGGCCCGCCUUAACUGGCCGCCGGGGGGCUUACGCCCCCGGGCCCGCGCCCGCCGAAGACACCCUCGAACUCUGUCUGAAGAUUGAAGUCUGAGUGAAAAUAUAAAUUAUUUAAAACUUUCAACAACGGAUCUCUUGGUUCCGGCAUCGAUGAAGAACGCAGCGAAAUGCGAUACGUAAUGUGAAUUGCAAAUUCAGUGAAUCAUCGAGUCUUUGAACGCACAUUGCGCCCCCUGGUAUUCCGGGGGGCAUGCCUGUCCGAGCGUCAUUGCUGCCCUCAAGCCCGGCUUGUGUGUUGGGCCCCGUCCCCCGAUCUCCGGGGGACGGGCCCGAAAGGCAGCGGCGGCACCGCGUCCGGUCCUCGAGCGUAUGGGGCUUUGUCACCCGCUCUGUAGGCCCGGCCGGCGCUUGCCGAUCAACCCAAAUUUUUAUCCAGGUUGACCUCGGAUCAGGUAGGGAUACCCGCUGAACUUAAGCAUAUCAAUAAGCC
rnacentral:rRNA from 1 species